rnacentral:rRNA from 1 species
UACAGAGGUCUCAAGCGUUGUUCGGAUUCAUUGGGCGUAAAGGGUGCGUAGGCGGCGCGGUAAGUCGGGUGUGAAAUCUUGGAGCUUAACUCCGAAACUGCAUUCGAUACUGCCGUGCUUGAGGACUGGAGAGGAGACUGGAAUUUACGGUGUAGCGGUGAAAUGCGUAGAGAUCAUGAGGAAGACCAGUGGCGAAGGCGGGUCUCUGGACAGUUCCUGACGCUGAGGACACGAAGGCCAGGGGGAGCAAAACGGGGAUUAGAACCGUACCGAGUCAG